rnacentral:rRNA from 1 species
UACGAAGGGGGCUAGCGUUGCUCGGAAUCACUGGGCGUAAAGCGCACGUAGGCGGAUCUUUAAGUCAGGGGUGAAAUCCUGGAGCUCAACUCCAGAACUGCCUUUGAUACUGGGGAUCUCGAGUCCGGGAGAGGUGAGUGGAACUGCGAGUGUAGAGGUGAAAUUCGUAGAUAUUCGCAAGAACACCAGUGGCGAAGGCGGCUCACUGGCCCGGUACUGACGCUGAGGUGCGAAAGCGUGGG